ACAGGAUUCCUGAAUCCCUGCAGAAAAGAGAGGGUCCGCCCUGAAUAAACAAACAACCGCUGACCAGCUUGUAAACUACAAUAACCAUCAUGCAUAGCUGGAAACGCCUUUCCGUUGCACGUUGGCGUCAUCAUAAGGGGGGAAAGCGGAUGUUGACAGAUUGUUUCAAAGUGUAGGCGCUAACGUUACUUUUGCUAUUUCAGUUUCAGGUUAACAUAACGGAAUAUAAGACUAACACAGACAGUUAAACAUUUUUAAGUACGUUUGGUUUUAACGCCAAAACGAUGAACCAAAUUAUGAAUAGCAUAAAGCUAGCUAGUAAUUAGCCACAGAUGUAGUUUCCAUGGUGAUGAAACACCUCAACGAUAAAUUACUGGCUAGCUAGCUGGUGAUGUUAGCUUUUAGGAGAUUGUGAACAGAGAUGUCAUCAGGGUUUCAGUCCCCCGAUCCUCAGAGUAUUCGACUUUCUUGCAAUAAUGGCGCUAAAGUUAUACAAUGUGUAACUCCACCUAACCAGUUCAAACUAAAAACGAGCGUUAACCCAUCAGGAUCAACUGCAACAAGCGACGCCUCUCUUCGGCUGAGAUUUAACAGCUUGACUCUGGAUGAACUGAGUGAGGAGCUUGAAAGGCGCACCAAAGAAACCCAGAGGCUUCAGGAAGAGGUGGAAACUGCAACCAAAGUAACUUUAGAGAGAUUUGGCUGCACAUAUGGCAUCCAGAGCUCACCUGGAGAAAGCUGCCACAACAACAGGUUUAAUGAGUAUGAUGGAGGUUCCUCUAUUCUUUCAACCCAGCAGCAGGCAGUGACUCAGCCAUCGCUCUGUGAUCUGGAUAUUUUAAACCAAGGAAAUAUCAGCUCUCCUGGAAAGAAAAUGUUGGAAAGUACAAAAGCCGACUGUCUUCAACAGCUGUCUGACUUGCAGCUCAACAAGAUGCAUGAUGAACCCGAACAAGAGAAAUUCAGGUUUGACAAAGCCAUCGUGAACCUGCAGACUAAGUUGAGCAAAGUCCAGAAGGAGAAGGACGGCAUAUCCGACCUCAGAUUGAAGGAUUCAAGGACACACGUUGAUCAGAUGGAAAAGAUGCUGUUCAUGUUGGAAGAGCUCCAAAACAUCAAAAGGACUAAGGACCAAGAGCUGCUAGAGACGGAGGAUGACACGUUGGCGCUUAACAAAAAAGUAGAGACAUUGGAACAAAAUGUAGAGCAGAUGUACUCACUGUUAUAUCAGGAGACACAACGCGGAGACAAUGCAAUCAUCAGUCCGAACUUCCAUACAUGUUCAACUCCGGCUGCUCAGUUUAAUGAGAAUUUUAAUGAUGAGACAGAGGAGCUACAGGAAAGAUUUUUUUUGUCAAUCAACCAUCUGGGAAGCGAGGGAUGCAGUGGAGUAAAUAAGCAAAAAGAAAGAAUGGAAGGCCUAAUAUCUCAUCUUGGCCAGGAGAUGGCGCUGUUGACUAGCAAACUGAGCUUGUCAAAAGACAACAGCAUCAGCCUGAAUGUCAAGUUAGAGCUGCUAAAGAAACUUGCAGAGAGACAGACAUCCCUGCACCAGUGUCAGGUCAGUGAACUCGAGUCAACCGUCUGCAGCCACAAAGAUAAGAUUUGUCGUCUGGAGCAGCAGCUCAAUCAGGCACAGUGGCAGCUGAUGAACGCCCAGAGAGAGGGAGAGCGAUCUUUACAGCAGGCAGAGGAGCUUCAGUCCCAGCUUGGCCAGCUUAAGAGGUGUGGUUUGCAGCAGCAGUGGGAGCUCCAGGAGGAGGUAGAGGCCCUGAGAGGACAGCUGGAAGCGGCCGGGGAGGAGAGAACCUGCCUGCAGGCCCUGCUGGAGCAGAGGGCCCAGGAGGGGAGGAAAUCCCAGAAACUCCUGGAGGAGAAACACAAAGACCUCCAGCUCAGUCAGCAAGAAGCACAGCACCAUCUUGCCAGGUUGAAGGAGGCCCAAAGCCGAUGCCAGGCCCUGCAUGCAGAAGGAGACACACUGAGGCUGAAGCUGAUUGACCGAGAGAAGAUGAUAGAGAGCGGUGUACAGAUGACAGUGCAGCACGGCAGCACUAUCGACGACCUUCACAAGGAGAACGGCCUCCUCAGCAACCAGCUUAACCAGUACAAGCUGGAGAUUCAGCAGCUCAGGGCAGAGUUAGACCACAAGUCAGAUGAUGCUGCUGCUGCAGAACAUGAGCGGCAGCAGCUCCAGGCCUUUGUGGCUGAACAAAGUCAGCGUGUCCAGGAGGAAAGCCUGGAGAAAAAGCAGCUUAACAUCCAGCUGGAGCUGCGCCGCAUGCAGUUACUCGCCCUAACUCAGGAGCACAAGGAGCUGCAGCAACUCCACAGCUGCAAGAACGAGGAGCAAGAAGGCGCGGUGCUGAGGCUCCAGAGUCAGCUCAGGAACGCCCGGGAAGAGCUGGAUCAGGUCGGGAGCACCCUGAGGACGCUGGAAGGAGCUGAGGGACACGGCCUCCAAGCAGCCAUGGACAUGCAGAAAGAGAUCACUGCCAGGAGACAGCAGGUCGACUCCCUGCAGAGCAAAAUCAAACAUCUUGAGGAGAUUAACGACAAGCUGUACCAGGAGAAGCGCUACCAGAGCCUCGAGAAGCAGCGCCAGCUCCAGGAGCUAACCUUCGUCAGGGAGGAGAAGAAACAACUUGGCAAUGAGCUGGAGGCCCUUCGCUCCAAAGAUAACCAGCUGAGGGAGCGGAUCGACCAGCUGCAGGCAAUCCUUCACAAGAUGUCAGAGAGCUUUGCAGACUGUCAAGAUUUCAUCCAGCUGCAGGAGCAGGACUUUUUCCGUCUGAAACUCCGACAUGCCCUGGACUUGAAGGAGCUCCAAGGUCAAAGAGUGCACACGGCUCUGACUGUACAUCCACCUGUCCUGGACUCCCCAUCUGCACUCACUGCUCCACCCGUCUCCCAGCAUGCGUCCAACGCCCAGAUCACGCAGGAAAGCGCCUCACGAGAGCUCAGGUCUGUGGUCAGAGAGCUUCGAGGAGCGGUUUCAGGGAAGCACAGACCACACACCGAUAACAGGAGGAGGUCUGAGCCGGAGAAAGUGCACAGAACCACAUUCAACAUUGACAAGAGGGAAGAAGUAAAGGCCGGAUCAAGAUUGAGAAGCAAAACCUGCGGCAGCAAGCCACUUUUCCUGAAUGGAGCUGAGCUAAACCGAAACACAAUCAAGAACAAAUCCUUCAGGGCAGGUUGUGUUAUUUCAAGUACAGCGACUGCAGGGAGGUACAUUUCCUUCCCACAGCUGCUCUCACUGGGUCGCAGGUCACCCGUCCACUCUCUGCUGACCUCUGACCCAAACAGCUGACAAUGACGGGACACAACCACAGACUGGACACAUCGGACCUCAGGCUGAUCUUCUUAUCAGACAAAUGAGCCGGUGUCCCCUGUUACCAAACACUUGAAUGAUGGGAAAUGAACCACACCUACAUAGACAAAGGAAUUCUAAGAUGCCGCCCCCCUCCUGCAGGCCCCAUCCCCUGGGAUUGCUAUAAGGCUUUGCACAAUGAGCAUCAGUUGUGGAAGCGGGUCGCAGCAGCAGCCACUGAACAUCCUCUCUCUGCGGGUGGAGAGUUCGGUGCCGUCGGUUCGCCCUUUAUUGGAGCUCCGCCCCGAAAUCAGUCGAUCAAAUUCAGCAUCACACUCGCCACACUCUGACCAAUCAGCGCGAAGAGGAGUGGUCUGUUUCGGUGGUCCGGGAGGGCAACAUCCAAUCAGAUGCUCGCACUGGUCGGACAAAGGGAAACACGUCGUGUCUGAUGGCACAUUAUUCAUGUCCACGCUGAAAUUAUUUAAGGAGACGCCAUGAGGCGAGAUAGCGGGAGUGCCUAUAAAAGUAACGGAUCUCCUCAUUCUCACUUUUUCUGUGAGAGGGAGAGGUUAGUAAUAAGAGGAUGAAAGGAUGAAAUGUCAAAGUGUAAAUAAUUUCCCCUCGACAUGUGCAUCGAGACAAACCCGUUAAGCUGAUUAACAAAGUGGCUAGGUGAAAUACUACCACUAUGAACACGUAGCUGCUUGCUCCAUUCAUGAAUCAUAAUCCUCUUUCCUGCUCAUAAAACCACUAAGUUAGAAAUUAGAUACAACACACAAAAAACAAGUGUAAAAAUGUGACAA